AACUCCGGGAAACCCGGGGCUAAUAACCGGAUAACAUUUUGCACCGCAUGGUGCAAAAUUGAAAGGCGGCUUCGGCUGUCACUUAUAGAUGGACCUGCGGCGCAUUAGCUAGUUGGUGAGGUAACGGCUCACCAAGGCGACGAUGCGUAGCCGACCUGAGAGGGUGAUCGGCCACACUGGGACUGAGACACGGCCCAGACUCCUACGGGAGGCAGCAGUAGGGAAUCUUCCGCAAUGGACGAAAGUCUGACGGAGCAACGCCGCGUGAGCGAUGAAGGCCUUCGGGUCGUAAAGCUCUGUUGUUAGGGAAGAACAAGUGCUAGUUGAAUAAGCUGGCACCUUGACGGUACCUAACCAGAAAGCCACGGCUAACUACGUGCCAGCAGCCGCGGUAAUACGUAGGUGGCAAGCGUU
rnacentral:rRNA from 1 species